rnacentral:pre_miRNA from 1 species
UCCUCAUGAUGAUGAUGAUGAUGAUGAUGAUGAUGAUGAUGAUCAUCAUCAUCAUCAUCAUCAUCAUCAUCAUCAUCAUCAUCAUCAUCAGUAACA